rnacentral:rRNA from 1 species
UACGGAGGGUGCAAGCGUUAUCCGGAUUUACUGGGUUUAAAGGGUGCGUAGGUGGGUUGGUAAGUCAGUGGUGAAAUCUUCGAGCUUAACUCGGAAACUGCCAUUGAUACUAUCAAUCUUGAAUUAUCUGGAGGUAAGCGGAAUAUGUCAUGUAGCGGUGAAAUGCUUAGAUAUGACAUAGAACACCCAUGCGAAGGCAGCUUACUACGGAUACAUUGACACUGAGGCACGAAAGCGUGGGGAUCAAACAGG